CAGGCCUAACACAUGCAAGUCGACCGGUAGCACAAGAGAGCUUGCGCUCCGGGUGACGAGCGGCGGACGGGUGAGUACUGUCUGGGACACUGCCUGAUGGAGGGGGAUAACUACUGGAAACGGUAGCUAAUACCGCAUAACGUCGCAAGACCAAAGUGGGGGACCUUCGGGCCUCAUGCCAUCAGAUGUGCCCAGAUGGGAUUAGCUAGUAGGUGAGGUAAUGGCUCACCUAGGCGACGAUCCCUACCUGGUCUGAGAGGAUGACCACCCACACUGGAACUGAGACACGGUCCAGACUCCUACGGGAGGCAGCAGUGGGGAAUAUUGCACAAUGGGCGCAAGCCUGAUGCAGCCAUGCCGCGUGUAUGAACAAGGCCUUCGGGUUGUACAGUACGUUCAGCGACGAGGAAGGCAUUAAGGUCAAUAACCUUAGUGAUUGACGUCACUCGCAGAAGAAGCACCGGCUAACUCCGUGCCAGCAGUCGCGGUAAU
rnacentral:rRNA from 1 species